rnacentral:rRNA from 1 species
CCUGCCGGUCAUAGCGGAUGGGGAAAUACCCGGACCCAUUCCGAACCCGGAAGUCAAGCCCAUCCGCGUAAGGGAUUCGGUGAGGCUACAAGCCUUGCAGGGUCCCUUAACUGGUAGGG